GCGGGGGUCGCGAAGCCAGGUCAAACGCGGAGGACUCAAGAUCACCUAGCGAAGGAGAGAUCCUUUCCCUUUAGGGGUUCGUGGGUUCGAAACCCAUUGAAGGCGAAAAUCCCACCCCCCGCA
rnacentral:tRNA from 1 species